GUUUCGUCACCGGUGUGGCGCCCGGUCUUCAAAACCGGUGGUGGGCCUGACCGUCCACGGUAGGUUCGACUCCUAUGCGUCUC
rnacentral:tRNA from 1 species